rnacentral:piRNA from 1 species
UUCACCCAGAAUUCCAUCCUUAUCGAGC